GCCUCCCUGGGAUGUUCGUGAUUUACGAUUUUUAUUUUACCAACAUUUUUUAUAAGGGAAUCUAGCUUCGUCUGUGGCGCAUAUGCCCCCCGCGGAUACGCGGCCAGGGGACAUGUAAAGCAGAUGAGAGGAUACCCACCUGCUCAGGCAGGUAAAAAUAAAUCGAACAACACGGCACCCUGGGGACUUU
rnacentral:other from 1 species